CUUUCCCAAGUUUGUGCGUAAAGAGAGAGGAGGAAAACUCAGAAGGAAGUGACUUGGCUUCAACAAGUUUGCUCCCAAAGCCUUUUUCCUCUGAUCUAGCUGAGACUGCUGUUCUAAGAGGAGCCCCCCAGACUCAGAGAAAACCCCCCACCUGCCAUCAGAGGCUGAAAAGGCUCUGGAAGAUUUUCCUGGCUCUUGUCUGUUCCAGCAACACCAGAGAUUCCGAAGCCCCUCCAUGAAUCCUCGGAAGAAGGUGGACCUCAAGCUCAUCAUCAUUGGAGCCCUGGGUGUUGGAAAGACCUCCCUCCUCCACCGAUAUGUGCAUAAGACGUUUUACGAAGACUAUCAGACCACACUGGGGGCCAGCAUCCUCUCCAAGAUUAUCAUACUGGAUGACACAACCUUGAAGCUACAGAUCUGGGACACAGGCGGCCAGGAGCGAUUCCGCUCCAUGGUGUCUACAUUCUACAAAGGCUCUGAUGGCUGUGUCCUGGCUUUUGAUGUCACUGACCUGGAGUCCUUCGAAGCCCUGGAAACCUGGCGGGGUGAUGUUCUGGCCAAAACCAUUCCAAUGGAGCAGUCCUACCCCAUGGUGGUGCUCGGGAACAAGAUAGAUCUGGCAGACCGGCAGGUACCGUCAGCUCAUUCAUCCACUCACCAAACACGUGAGGACCAGUUACAUGCCAGGCGCUGGGCUAAGUCCCACACAUACAGAGCUGAAGCGGGCAUAGUCCUUACCUUAAGAAUUUCACAGUCUAGUAAUGGAUGCAUUUUAAGGAUAAUUAUGAUGCAAUAAGGUAAAUCAUGAGCAGUCAUAGAGAACACCUUGGGGACCACAGUGAAAGGGCAUCUAUCUAGUCAACCCAGGGUAUAGCAAGGGCUUCCUAGAGGAAGUGGUUCCAGGCUAAAGAAACAGCAUGAGCAAAGAGAGAGGAAGAAUAAAGGUUUGAAAGAAGCAGUGAAGCCCCAGGCAAGCCCAACUCCGUCUCUGGGAUCUGUGCUGAACAGGGUGUGGAAGGAGCUCCCCCACCCCCCGACUGGAGAAGGCGACAGGAUUUGGAGGGGGGCCAGCCGGAGGAAGAGAGGUGAGGAAGUGCUCACAGGCAUGAAACGAGCACAGCAAAGUGCAGAGGAGGAACUGGGAGUGGGGCGCGCAGAGGGACUUUGAUCCAGAGACCCAGGGUGGGGAGCCAGAGGUGAGGCUGGGAGGUGGCCGCCCUCCAAGGGCACAGACCGGGCAGAGGAUGCCGCCAGCCCUGAGAGGCGAAGCCCGGGCUUGGGGAGCGGGCUGCAGAUAGUCCUCACUUGCACAGGGUUGAGUGGAUAAGGAGCACCUUCUCUGAGCUCAAAUUCAUGUGUGUCUUUGGCCAGUUCCAGCUUCUCUGUGAAACAGACACCAGACUCAGAUUUCAUGAGGUUAUCUGAGGCUCCGUAGGCAAUGAUGCCUAUAAAGCACAUGGCAAUCUUAAUACAUGAAAGAGAUUGUUCCCACCUUCUUAAUUUCAUAUCUCCAAUGUGUGGGCUGGGAAUAUAGAGAAGUUCUUCCUACUUACCAAAAAGAAAAUGAAUAUUUAAAACGUAGAUGCUAGAUGUGGCAUGAUGAAGUGUUAGUCGCUCAGUCAUGUCCAACUCUUUGCAACCCCAUGG